rnacentral:rRNA from 1 species
CAGUAGCCACGGUAAUACGAGGGGAGCUAGCGUUAUUCGGAAUUACUGGGCGUAAAGCGCACGUAGGCGGCUUUGUAAGUUAGAGGUGAAAGCCCAGAGCUCAACUCUGGAAUUGCCUUUAAGACUGCAUCGCUUGAAUCCAGGAGAGGUGAGUGGAAUUCCGAGUGUAGAGGUGAAAUUCGUAGAUAUUCGGAAGAACACCAGUGGCGAAGGCGGCUCACUGGACUGGUAUUGACGCUGAGGUGCGAAAGCGUGGGGAGCAAACAGGAUUAGAUACCCCUGUAGUCCCUGUCUCUUAUAC